AUAUCAUUGUAGGUACCAGACUAGAUAUAAAUCAAGACAAUCCCGAGAGAGUCAAGGUCAUCAUAUAUGCAGAAGAUCUGUUUGCAGAUCUCAUCAGAAAUAUAUUUCCUGAUAACAUCAUAGGUGCUUCGUUUAGACAGACAUUAACAUCUUACAAAAAAGUUGAAGCACAACUGAACAUCAGUGAGGAAUUUGCAAAUAAUACCAUUUAUCAGAGACACAUUGGUUAUUCUGAUGGAAGCAACAUACUUGGUGAGUCAUAACAAAUAUCUAAUAUAUAUGGUACACAUCACCAUAGCCUAGGUGGUAAGCUUCUGGCAUACUGAGUGAACUAUACUGAUUCAAUUUUUGAUUGUGACUCUUACACUGCAAUUGAUCUUGCAGGACACAGUAAGGCUGUCUGUCAAAUUUGUAAUUUUAAAAAUAAUCAUUCCUUAUAUCAGUACAAUGUCAUUUGUUUCCAAAGUGAGUAGGUAUUGUUAAUUACUGAUACUUAAUGUUAAACACUAGAAUACAAGUAGACUACUCAUUGAAUCAGUUUCAUAAAGUUUUAAAAUUUUCGUAUUAAAUGUAUAAUGUAAGGAGAAGAGGAUUUGUAGUGUUUUAAGAAAAGCACUUCUCUUGUUUAACAUUCUAAAAAAAAAGGUCUUACUUAAAAUAUUGGAAUUCUUUUCUAUCACAGAACACUAAUAGAUAUUUUUAAAAUUUUGUCAUUACUACCAAUUUUAUUGGC